rnacentral:rRNA from 1 species
UACGUAGGGUGCGAGCGUUGUCCGGAAUUAUUGGGCGUAAAGAGCUCGUAGGCGGUCUGUCGCGUCGGCCGUGAAAACCUGCAGCUUAACUGUGGGCUUGCGGUCGAUACGGGCAUGACUGGAGUUCGGCAGGGGAGACUGGAAUUCCUGGUGUAGCGGUGAAAUGCGCAGAUAUCAGGAGGAACACCGGUGGCGAAGGCGGGUCUCUGGGCCGAGUACUGACGCUGAGGAGCGAAAGCGUGGGGAGCGAACAGG